rnacentral:rRNA from 1 species
GGAUUAGAUACCCUGGUAGUCCACGCCGUAAACGAUGUCUACUAGCAGCUCGCCUCGUUAGAGGGGUUUUGCGCAGCUAACGCGUUAAGUAGACCGCCUGGGGAGUACGGCCGCAAGGUUAAAACUCAAAUGAAUUGACGGGGGCCCGCACAAGCGGUGGAGCAUGUGGUUUAAUUCGAUGCAACGCGAAGAACCUUACCAUCCCUUGACAUCCAGAGAACUUACUAGAGAUAGUUUGGUGCCUUCGGGAACUCUGAGACAGGUGCUGCAUGGCUGUCGUCAGCUCGUGCCG